UCUUUCAGUCUUGGCCUGGUGCUCUGUCUCUCUUAAAAAAAAAAAAGAAAAAAGAAAAAGAAAGAAGAAAGGAAAGAAUGUAUUUUCCCCAUUACGAAAUAGAGUAAAUUUACUAAAUUAAAGAAAAAUGAAAAGAAUAAAUAUCAUCUCUUGUCUACGCCCUAGAGGCCACUGCUGGUGACCUUUGGGUGUUUCACUCCAGGCUUUUCACAUAGCUCUUGCUUGUAAACAACUUUGUAUACAACUUUGUCUUCCUACUGCACGGCACGCACCAUCUCGGACAGAAUUAGGGACAAAACGACAGUGGCAAGAAGAAGAGAAGAAGAAACAGGAGCAAGCAAUUUGUCCCGAGGGCGUGGGGGCAGUGCAGGCCAGAAGUCAGUUAGUCAGGAGAGGAAGUGAACGUUUAUUCAUCCUUUUGAGGACUGCUUUUUUUUGAGCCCCAAGUACCUGCUCUGUGGGAACACAGAUCCUAUAAUAAAACUGAAAGCAGGGGAAAAUAAAUCCACAGAUCAUGUCAACACUGUGGGAUAAGUGCUAAAACCACAGGAAGCCUGGGAGCAGAAGAAGCCAGAGGAUGGGGUAGGAGUCAGAGCCGGCUCUCUGGGAGAAGGACGCCCAAGCUGAACCUUGACCUACUGACCUGUAGAGUCAAGCCAGGAAGCUCUUGAAAGUCUCAAAGCGGGACGCUGACCCAACCGGACUGCACUUUGAUGAAGACCAAGCCUGCAGCUGAGGAGGAGCGAGGUGAGGAGUGCAGCACAGUGGAGGGGAGCCCGAGGACCGGAAGGCGAGUGAGGGCACUGCUGCGUAAAUCCAGGAGACAGAGCCUAUUUUCCAAAGUGAUCGUUCCAAUUUGCUCCCACCAGUGAUGCAUGUAAUUUUGAGUUGCUUCACAUCCUGGAAGAGUCCGUUUCUAAAUCUUAGCCAUCCAGGUCUGCAGUCUCUCCGAGGUUGCCUUUUAUGCACAGUGUGAGAUGUCAUCUAACGACCACCACAAUGGAGAUACCGAAUGUUCCAUCAGACACUCCCCUGGCCCCAGAACUUAAACCAGCAGAGGGAGACAGAUCCCCAGCAGAGCACAGUGGAAAACGUUUUCCAAUUUCCUGCGUCCUCCCGGUGUCCCUGCCUUCUCCACGGUCUCCUGGGCUGAUCUUGCCGCUUCCAGAGCCCUUCCUACUGUCUCCCUCCAACCGAAGCUUAGAUUCGUGAGCUGACUCCUUCGGGCACACAGGGUAGCUUGCUGGCUCAUCUGGCGGAAGAGAGGAGGCCUUCUGAACGCAAGCCCUCCCGGGAAACCGGUUCGCACGUAACAAGGAACUUGGAUGCUGAAACCCAGAGUCUUGAAGAGAGAAUUGUAGACACUGAGGCAGAGGAGAUGUUUGGAAGGGGCUUUCGGUCUGAGACUUUUCCAGAUCCCUCAGCUCACAGCGGCACAGAGGCCUGCACCCUGCUUCCGUUCUGAGAGCGCGUUCCCGCUUCCCAUGCAACCUCAGCAACCUCAGCCUGUGUCUGGGAAGAAGCUGCCCUCGGCCUCUUCCUUCCAGAAAACAGCAGGCUGUUUUGUUGUUUGGUUGUCUCUCACACGUCCAGUUCCUCCAGAGCUUCCGGACCCCUUUUCCUUGGCUCCCGAAGGGAGCACCUGGAAUGUUCACACUCUACCUGGAGAACCGCGCUGUCUCCUCGGGCAUUUCUGCUGCACAGGAGAGAAAAAGCUAGUUCAUUUAAGCCAAAAACUUAAGUAGGGACUGGAUUCAAAAACAAGCCUUUCUCAAAAAAAAACACCUCCUCCUUUGCCUGUGGUUACUAGAGGCAAGUCAUGAGCCUCUUUUGCAGAUAGCGCUUGAAUUAUUGGUCUGGUUCUAACAACUGGCACUUUCCAGCAGGACGUUAGGGAGUGAAGUGUGUGCACCAUGAUAGAAGACGGUUUGGAAGCCACCCUAGACAAGGAGGGCUGAGCCUGCAGGAAGGAAGUUGUGAAGGGUCACCGCCCAGCACGGGACUGCACUUAUUCUCUGCCGCUCCAGAGAGCCAAGCGAGAACCAGCAGCUGGUCUUGGGCAUGCGGCAUAAGGGAAGAUGGUGGGGAAGUGGUCCGUGGAGAAGUGGUGCAGCCAGGGGAAACUAGUGCAGCUGGAGUCUGACUCCAGCAAGGGCUUCUUAGCACCCAAAGCCCGGCCUGAGAGAAUGUGGUAAACAGCAUGAUUCGGGCAGCCACUGGCAUCGAGUGAUCCAACCCAGUGGGUGGGCAAAGCAGCAAGGGAUGCUAGGCAGCAUUUCAGAAGUCCUUCCUCAAGGGACCAUAACAGCUAACGUAGGGAGUGUGGGGGCAGGACGCAACAGGAUGAAGGUAUGGCCCCAGUACCUAAUCACCACCCAAGUUCUGGACAAGGCCCCAGUCACAGGGGGAAGCUGGGGAACAGCACAGAAACUAAGUGAGCAGAUCCUUGGUUAAAGCCAACCCCCACAGACUUGGCUAGUGGAAUGGGCUGGGGAGGGAGGGAGGAGAAGCAUAAGGAGGGCUCGGGUUCGAGGUCACUUCAUGGGGCCCAGGAUGCACCAGGCCCAUGGUGUGCUGGCCGUGGAGGGGUCUGGCAGUGCAUGUGGGCCCGUGAAUGAGACGUAGUGUGUGGAGUUGAGGAAGAGACAACAAAGCGGGGCUGAUGGAGAGGCUACCUGAGGAGAUGCGGGUGAUGAAGGAUCGGGAAAGCUCGUGCAGAGACCAGUGCCCUGCUGGGAGGGGAGCUUUCAGUGUGAGAGGGUUAACCGCUUGGCCUUUAAGGCCCAAGCCAGCUCUAAUGCACUGAUCCUACGGGGCCCGUGAGACACAAGGCCUGGGAACCACCCUCUCCAGGUGCUCCCUGUCUAUACUCAACUGUCCGUCCUCCUCCUUGUUUGGAAUCGAGUGUUUCAAGAACAGGUUCCCUUGGCAAUCUAGUUAGAAUGUUGUCAGGCCAGCUUGUACUCCACCCCAGCAUCUCGCAGUCUCUCCAAACUGGGGUCUCUUGGCCUCCCUUGUGGGUGCAGCCCUGUCGCAGCCUCCAGGCUCCGCUCUGCGGCAGCAGGUGCACAGAACAGCAGAGCUAGUUCGGGCUCGUCUGGUGUCCGCUUCUGAUGUGUGAACUUGCUCCUGUUUCUGAGACUUGCGGACUCCGCUGGGGUUAACUGGGGAUUUGCCUUGCUUCUCAUACUCGGAUCUGUUAUGGAAACCCUGGGCCUUGGCUUGCACAUCCCAGGCUCGGUAGCUGGGCCCUGAUAUCUGCUGACUCCUUUUCCUGAUGGCAGCUUCUGCUUGUCCAAACUGCUGAGCGUCCCGUGCCUCCAGUCAUCCUGAUAGGCUUACCUGCAGCCUACUCCUCAGUACAUAUAUGCUGUUCUGCUGUUCUAGCAUCACUGUCGCUGGUGCACCCAUCUCCCAGGUUCUGACUGUGUCCCGAAAGUAGAGCCAGCAUGUGGGCUGUGAGAGAAAGAGAUGAGCAAAGAAAAAUUCCAAGGUUUUUGGCUUGGAAAACCGGAAGGAAGGAGUUGCCGACCGAGAUGGGCAAGGCUGUAAGUAGAACACGUGUGGGGGAUUAGCAGUUCAGUUUUGACUCGCUAAGUCAGAGAUGUCCAUUAGCCAUCCUGGGAUGGAGCCUGAGUUGGCCACUGGACAUAUUCCUCUGGAGUGUGGGGGAGAGGCCUGGACUGGAUGUUGUUGUUUUGGACAUUGUUGGCACAUAGAUGGCAUUUAAGACAUUGCGCUGGGUGAGAUCACCAAUGGGUUGACAUAGAUACAAAAAAGAAAAAGUCCGAGACAUUCCUGCAUUAAAAGAUUGGGAAGAAGAGGAGGAACCAACAAAGAAGACCGCUUACUGGAAAGUGCCUGCUUUUUCCAGCAAAUAAUUAGUAACCAUGACCAUAGAUGACCACAGAUGUGCGUUAGGACCUGAGCAGUUUUUCUCUUUGUGUGUUUGUUUAUAGCGUGCCUCACUUUACACACAGACAAGACGGCACAUACUCACCAUCAGCAAAGGUCCUUUUCAAUAUUUCCUACCGCAGACGGGGGUUGGCUCCACGGCUCCCUCAUUUUCUCUCAUGUGGGGUCGGCGGUGUGCGUCGGCGGUAAGACGCCGCGGAGGCAGAAGCAGAGACUGUCCCGGGAGCGGUGCGGUGCAUAGCGUCACAUCGGAUGGAAUACGCGGUUUAAGAAGAAUCUUCCCUCUGCAAACACGCUCGCCGAUCACACCUGCGGGGGGCCUGGCUUUCUGUGGUUCACAUAUUCUUCAUCCGCAUUCAACUUUUCCUUUAACGUGAGAGUACUUCUGCUGCAUCAGUGACCUCCUUGGGCCAAAUGUUAAGUACAGUUUAUGCUAAGCCAGUUUAUUUCUGCUAAAAGUAGACCUCUGCUUAUCAUGUCUGUCCUUUCUUCCCUCGAAGACAGACAAACGAAUAAAGCCAGCCACCUCGAGAAGCUGAUGCUCUCGGCACAGGGCUGAGUGCUAUGCUAGGAACAGUUCCAUCUGCUAAAUGCCUACACAGGGCUGGUAGUAAAAAUCACAGCAAAUUUCCAUCUUUUCCUGCAACACCCAAGUCCUUCCAAGGAAACUCCCCAUCCGGCCACAUGAGAUAAAAUUAGAAACCUGCUAACUUUGCUGCCUCCCCAGGACUGCUAACUUCAACAGAGGCUGCAUUUCUUCAAUUACGGAACUAUAAACAGUAAGCUAAUAACAACGGAGAAGAGGAAAACAACAAUAAAGAAACAAAAACUAACAAAACCCUUCUGUAUUCAUGUUCUUUUCCACAAGUUGGUUCCCAAAGCUUCCUUCCUUUUGCUGAAAAAUGGUAUCAUUAAAGUUAUCAAGAGAAUGCAAAAUGCCAAUAUAUUUCUCCCUUAGGGGCAGGGCUUAAUCUGUGGUUGUCAAAGAUUUGUGAACAUAAGAAAUAAUCAUAUGGCGGUUUUGCUUUUGGCUCAAUUACCCUCCUUCUAUAAAUGUGUCCUUGCCUCAAAGUGGGUGACAAAGGCCACCCACUGAAGUACAGGAAGACAAAUCAUAGACUGUGUGGAAAUGACUCAAGAUUCUCAUCCAUUUUCCUUCUUGUGUUUGUGAUUUAAAUACAUUUACUAUAUUCAUAUGGUAGUAAAUAUUUGUUACCGUCUAAUCACAUCUAACCUGGACAUUGUUAAUUCAUGAGCUGAAGAGUCAGGGUAAUAAGAAUGGAUCAAAAAGCCUCUAUGGAUUGUUUUCCAAGAUCCAGGUUCAGAGCACCUAUGCAGCAGCUUCAGACCUGUAUAACCAACUGCCUGUUCCAUUGGGUUAUCUCAAAGCACAUCAAAUGCAAGGCGUCUAUAACCAAGCCAAAUAUCUUCCUUCUCCAUCCUCAUCCUCUUCCAGGGUUCCCCUAACUCACUGAAUGGCAUUAGUUGUGAAAGCCAGAAAUCUAGGUGUCAUCUUUGACUCAACCCUUUCCUCACUCACCCAAUCCAUUAUCAAGUCAUGUCAAUUUUAUCUACUCCAUCCCUCUGGAGAUUACCACUGCCACUACCAGAAUGGCUCACUGUCUGCUGAGGUCUCCUGUCUAUACACACCAUCCAUCAUUAGCCCUCUAGAGUCCACUCUUCACACUAAUACAGCCUGUCCAUUUUCCACUAAACUUCGCAAAUAUUAUCAUGAAAUACUUCACAAACACCAAAGAAAAAAACAAAUAAAUAUGUACACUGUAAAGCAAAAGAAAUAUUCAUGAAACCACCAUCCAAAUUAAAACAUUACAAUCAUCAAAUCUUUUUUUCAUGCAAAAGUGAUUCCCUUGCUUCAAGUUCACAUAAUUCAGUCACAUAGGUGUUUCAAUUCUUAGGUUCUGGCUGCUCCUUCUUACUUCAGAAUCUUUGCUGUUGCUCUGGUUUAAAAUAUGCUCUCCCACCUUCAUUUUCUGCCCUUUGAACGUCUCUUCUGCAACCCUCCUGAGUACCCGGAUUUUCCUUCAAAGCUCUUUCAUUUGAAAUGACAUAUUUAUGACAGAUUGUUACAAGUCUAAAAGCUCCAUGUGGGCACAGACUGUAUCUUUUUUGCUUCUCAGUGCAGCAGUCAUACCCACAUAAUACCCUGGCACCAGUGAGUGUUUGUUAGAUGAUCAAAGUCAGGUGACUUGCCUGAGUUAUGGAUGGAUGGCAGGGGAAGGAGAAAGCUUAGAACUUCCUAGGUAGUGCAGCCACUGCAUAUGAAACGGUUCUCCCCAUCAGUGAGUCCCACCUUUAAUGGAUUCUAGCCUAUGAGGUUGUAUGUCUCCUGGAAGGAUUGCCUCAUGUGAUUACCUCAGCCUUAGAUAUGCUCCAUGGACAUAUGAAGCUUCAGUCCGUGAGCCUUUCCAUGGUGUCUCCACUCAUUUAGCUACGGCUUAUGUACAAGUGCCCUUAGGACUAGUAUUUUAAAAGUUCACAUCUUUACUUUGAUCUUGCUCAGUCACGAACCUGUCCUAGCAACAUCAGCAUCAUAGCGGAGUGAGGUUUCCCAGUAAUCUCUCCCCUCC